AAUAAAGUGCCUGAAUAAAGGGUUAUUUUGAUAGAAUAAAUUAUAUAAUUAUUAUAAUUAUCUUUAUUA
rnacentral:tRNA from 1 species